rnacentral:lncRNA from 1 species
ACUAAGCUGAACAAGGAUGUCGACAUUCUGAAAUCUUGAGUCCUCCAUUCCAAACUCUCCUGUAUAAAGGAACCGCCAGACUGAUUUCCAGAGUGGUUGUACAAGCUUGCAAUCCCACCAACAAUGGAGGAGUGUUAACUUUUCAGGCAAGCCUGGACCAUCAUUUACAGCCAACUGGAUACAAUCAAAUAUUUGGAUGAUAUAAAAGGAAAGGAAAGAGAAGGCUUACAGAGCUGAUGAAAGAAUUCAAUUCUUCAAAUGAGGGUGUGUCACUUUGAGAAACCAAACUUAGCAUGCAUGGAACCUUCAGUUCAAAUCUCAGCACAGGGGAAAAUGAAUUCUGACUAUGUGGCCAGCAACAGCAUCUAUCACGUAAAUUAUCUGCUGCACAAGCUGGUGAACCUGAGUUCCAUCCCUGAGAACCCACACAGCAGAAGGAGAGAAUCAACUACUAGAACAGUCCUCUGACUUCACCUGUGAUCUUCGGCUGCAUGUAUGUAUAUGCAGUAACAAAAAAUAAAAUCUAUGAAAAGU